UACGUAGGGUGCGAGCGUUAAUCGGAAUUAUUGGGCGUAAAGGGUGAGUAGGCGGUUUAAUAAGUUAAUAGUGAAAGCAUUGGGCUUAACCUGAUAAGAGCUAUUGAUACUGUUAGACUAGAGUUAGUUAGAGGAUUGUGGAAUUCCAAGUGUAGUAGUGAAAUGCGUAGAUAUUUGGAGGAACCUUAAUGGCGAAGGCAGCAAUCUGGGAUGAGACUGACGCUGAGUCACGAAAGCGUGGGGAGCAAACAGG
rnacentral:rRNA from 1 species